GGAGAUUUAGCUUAAUGGCAUAAGCAUCUGCCUUGCAAGCAGGCAGUUGUGAGUUCGAUCCCCAGUACCG
rnacentral:tRNA from 1 species